rnacentral:lncRNA from 1 species
GUCUGUUCUUUGAGUUAAUCAGCUUCACAUAGAGUAAGACCCUCUCUGGUCUCAAUCAAAUUUCUUUAUUGUCUCAGCAUUUUCAGAAAUUCAUAGGAAACUGUGGUGUCACCAUUUCAGGGUUCAAAAGAGUUAUGAGUCAAUAAUGGAGAGCUUUCCCCUAACAAUCAGCACCAGCUUCUCAGUACCCUUCAGUCAAUACCCACAGGUGGCAGCCCUCUAGGUAAAUGGUAGGGCUGCAGCAACCCUGGUAGGGCAGUAGCGGCCUAAGGAGAGCUGUGUCUGCAGCUGGCACUGAAGAGUUUGGUGGGUGUCAGAUCCAGCCAUAGACAGACCGAAAAUUCAAGGAUGGAAGAGUGAUGAGCCUGCUUCCCGCUGCAGGCUCUACUACACUGAUAGGCUGAGAUGCAGCCGUGUGUUCAGGACCUACAAUGACCCCUCUGAAGUCCUCCCCCCACUCACCUGUCCAGCUUCUCCGCCAAGAUAAGCAGCAUUAGGAAAGAACUGUUUGAGUUACUUUCCUCUUACUUAUUUUUAUAUUAUAAUUAGGGCAUUAUUUUGGAAAUUAUGGAUAUACAUGAUCUAUGAUGUAUUCGUUGCCUUUGAGGACAAAGAAAUACUACAAAAAAGAUUUGUUUAAAGAGAGAG